UGGGGAAUAUUGGGCAAUGGGCGAAAGCCUGACCCAGCAACGCCGCGUGAAGGAUGAAGGUCUUCGGAUUGUAAACUUCUUUGAUUAGGGAAGAAUUUUUGACCUACCUAAAGAACAAGUCACGGCUAACUACGUGCCAGCAGCCGCGGUAAUACGUAGGUGACAAGCGUUAUCCGGAUUUACUGGGUGUAAAGGGCGUGUAGGCGGUUUUGCAAGUCAGAUGUGAAAUUCCCAGGCUUAACCUGGGCGCUGCAUCUGAAACUGCAAGACUUGAGUACUGGAGAGGAUAGUGGAAUUCCUAGUGUAGCGGUAAAAUGCGCAGAUAUUAGGAGGAACACCGGUGGCGAAGGCGACUAUCUGGACAGUAACUGACGCUGAGGCGCGAAAGCGUGGGGAGCAAACAGG
rnacentral:rRNA from 1 species